UCUUUAUCUUCCUGUGUAUGACAAUCUCUGAAACCCUAGCUUGCUAGUCCCUAUAUAUAAGAAACCCAAACGUGCUGGUUCUCGUUAAGGAUAUGAGAUGAGAGCCAGGGGCGGAUUCAGAUGGUGCGUUUGGUGUGUUGAGGGGAAUGUUGGCUGGCUCGAAGGCUUUUUGAUCACCAAGAGGUUCUCUAAUAUAUUUGGGAACUGCUAAUUACAAAAGGCUUCGGACCAGGCUUCAUUCCUCUCAAACCCACUGUAAUUUUUAGCAUCUGAUCUCUCUCAAAUUAUAAACCGCUUGCUCGUCUUUCUCACAAGUCAAAAGGUACAGUUUUGAUUACAUGUUAUCCGUUAUAUAUAUGCACACGGAAAGCUUGACAGUUUUGAUUACAUAUUAUCUGUUAUAUAUAUGCACACGGAAAGCUUGGCGUUUAGGACGAGAGGAAUGUUGUCUGUUACGAUAUAUUAUCGUUGAGAGAUUCAAAUGUUUUCAUACUCUCGAACCUAAAGAGACGAUUCUCGAAGAGGCUUCAUCCCCUCAUCCAUGUUUAGUUUGCCUUUCGCUUCGUUAUACUUUCAGUUUGAAUAUCAUUUGGAUCUGAAUCUGGCAAGCAGCCUUUGUCUGUUCCACUAUUUUUAGAUUUGCAUCUUCUGGUGUCAGUGUUACAGCACGUCUAUUAAUUGGCUCUUUAAUUUAAGUGAGAGGAGAGUCAGAAAUUGAAGACAGGGGUUGCGCAGCAGAGGCAUCAACGCAAGAGUGAAUGAAAGAAUGGAUGGGGAUGCCGACAUGUGCUGCAACACUUAACGAGAAGUUAAACAGUUGUGUGUACAGUACACCAGAAAGUAGCUACGCAUUCUCUCUCACUCUCUCCUUCUCUCUCUCUCACUUGCAAUAUAAUGUAACACAUACUAGUCCAUGAGGAGCAGGCAAGCAGCAGCCAGCAGCUUUCCAUGAAGAUGAGUGACGACCCAGAAAUCUGCAUGCACGAGCUGAUGUAAAACUAGACCUAGGAAUAAUUAGGGCAACAAAGCGAGAAAAAGGGUGUGCUUUAGUGUAACAAUAAGCAAUGUAUUUAAGGGACUUUCGAAGUCGUUGAAUUAAAAUUCAGAUAAGUGAAGAAAAGUUAACAUGUAUUUUCCGUUGUAUCCGGAAAAAACAAAACAAAAGUUAACAUCUGAAUUAGAGAGAUAUAAAUAUAAUAAUUAAAUGAGGAUUCUCUGUCUGACGGGGUCUUCGGGAAAUGGAACGGAGUGAACAAGUAAGAUGAGCACAGCACCUUGCUUCUCGGGGAUCGCUUCGUUACGAUUUUCAAACAUCGUGUCACACUCUCUCCUUCCACGGGAUUUCAGUCCAAUCUUGAAUUUUUGUCUGUUCAUCUUUUGAAGGAUUUACGUGCCUGUGAUAACAAAAUAGGAUGUAAUAUUUAUGAUUCAUGAGUUUUGAGUCAAUCAUGAUUCAUGAGGUAGGUGAAAGAGCCCAGGAUGAUUCUGCUUUAUCCGCUAGCAUGGCAAUCUUGUCCGAUUAAUUAUAUAAUAUAUAAUAUUUCUCAUC